rnacentral:tRNA from 1 species
GCCCCCAUAGCCCAAUUGGCAGAGGCAGGAGACUUAAAAUCUCUGUGUUGUGGGUUCGAGUCCCACUGGGGGCA